rnacentral:rRNA from 1 species
GACGAACGCUGGCGGCGUGCCUAAUACAUGCAAGUUGAGCGCUGAAGGUUGGUACUUGUACCAACUGGAUGAGCAGCGAACGGGUGAGUAACGCGUGGGGAAUCUGCCUUUGAGCGGGGGACAACAUUUGGAAACGAAUGCUAAUACCGCAUAAAAACUUUAAACACAAGUUUUAAGUUUGAAAGAUGCAAUUGCAUCACUCAAAGAUGAUCCCGCGUUGUAUUAGCUAGUUGGUGAGGUAAAGGCUCACCAAGGCGAUGAUACAUAGCCGACCUGAGAGGGUGAUCGGCCACAUUGGGAGUGAGACACGGCCCAAACGCCUACGGGAGGCAGCAGUAGGGAAUCUUCGGCAAUGGACGAAAGUCUGAGCGAGCAACGCCGCGUGAGUGAAGAAGGUUUUCGGAUCGUAAAACUCUGUUGGUAGAGAAGAACGUUGGUGAGAGUGGAAAGCUCAUCAAGUGACGGUAACUACCCAGAAAGGGACGGCUAACUACGUG